rnacentral:rRNA from 1 species
UACGAAGGGGGCUAGCGUUGCUCGGAAUCACUGGGCGUAAAGGGUGCGCAGGCGGGUCUUUAAGUCCGGGGGGAAAUCCUGGAGCUCAACUCCAGAACUGCCUUUGAUACUGAGGAUCUUGAGUACGGGAGAGGUGAGUGGAACUGCGAGUGUAGAGGUGAAAUUCGUAGAUAUUCGCAAGAACACCAGUGGCGAAGGCGGCUCACUGGCCCGUAACUGACGCUGAGGCACGAAAGCGUGGGGAGCAAACAGG